rnacentral:rRNA from 1 species
GAUGAACGCUGGCGGCGUGCUUAACACAUGCAAGUCGAACGGAAAGGCCUCUGCUUGCAGGGGUGCUCGAGUGGCGAACGGGUGAGUAACACGUGGGUGAUCUGCCCUGCACUUCGGGAUAAGCCUUGGAAACUGGGUCUAAUACCGGAUAGGACAAUGGUUUGGAUGCUGUUGUGGAAAGUUUUUCGGUGUGGGAUGAGCUCGCGGCCUAUCAGCUUGUUGGUGGGGUAAUGGCCUACCAAGGCGUCGACGGGUAGCCGGCCUGAGAGGGUGUACGGCCACACAGGGACUGAGAUAUGGCACAGACACCGACGGGAGGCAGCAGGGGGGAAGAUUGCACGAUGGGCGCAAGCCUGAUGCAGCGACGCCGCGUGUGGGAUGACGGCCUUCUGGUUGUAAACUCCUUGCGCUAGGGAAGAAGCGUUUUUGUGACGGUACCUGGAGAAGAAGCAACGGCUAACUAUGUG